CCAGGACUAUGUAUCGCCGACCCUUUCUUUUAUAUAUGCACAUGCGGAAGCAGUUAUAAUUCCCCAGACAAUAAAGCAAUGGGAUAGAAAAGCAAGCCAUAUAUUUUUCUUACUGAAAAAUUCACAACUACAUCUUUUUACAUGCAAACAAGGUCUGACAAGACAGGAUAGGAUUUCAAUCCUCAUCCGAGUCGUACUCGAUGUCAUACUCGGGGUCCUCCUCCACGUACUCCUCUUUGGGUUCCUCAACAGAGAUCUCCUCAUCAGAUUCAUG
rnacentral:lncRNA from 1 species